AAUGUGAUUUCUGCCCAGUGCUCUGAAUGUCAAAGUGAAGAAAUUCAAGUAAGCGCGGGGUCAACGGCGGGAGUAACUAUGACUCUCUUAAGGUAGCCAAAUGCCUCGUCAUCUAAUUAGUGACGCGCAUGAAUGGAUUAACGAGAUUCCUACUGUCCCUAUCUACUAUCUAGCGAAACCACAGCCAAGGGAACGGGCUUGGAAUAAUUAGCGGGGAAAGAAGACCCUUUUGAGCUUGACUCUAAUCUGGCAGUGUAAGGAGACAUAAGAGGUGUAGAAUAAGUGGGAGAUAUUAGACCUCGGUUUGGUAUCGCCAAUGAAAUACCACUACUCUUAUUGUUUCCUUACUUACUUGAUUAAAUGGAACGUGUAUCAUUUCCUAGCCAUUAUACGGAUAUAUUUAUUAUAUCUUAUGGUAUUGGGGUUUUGAUGCAAGCUUCUUGAUCAAAGUAUCACGAGUUUGUUAUAUAAUCGCAAACAAAUUCUUUAAUAAAAGGAGUGCAUUUAUGUAUUUUUGAUUUGAAAAUUUGGUAUAACUCCAAUUACUCAGGUAUGAUCCAAUUCAAGGACAUUGCCAGGUAGGGAGUUUGACUGGGGCGGUACAUCUCUCAAAUAAUAACGGAGGUGUCCCAAGGCCAGCUCAGUGCGGACAGAAACCACACAUAGAGCAAAAGGGCAAAUGCUGACUUGAUCUCGGUGUUCAGUACACACAGGGACAGCAAAAGCUCGGCCUAUCGAUCCUUUUGGUUUAAAGAGUUUUUAACAAGAGGUGUCAGAAAAGUUACCAUAGGGAUAACUGGCUUGUGGCGGCCAAGCGUUCAUAGCGACGUCGCUUUUUGAUCCUUUGAUGUCGGCUCUUCCUAUCAUUGUGAAGCAAAAUUCACCAAGCGUUGGAUUGUUCACCCAUGCAAGGGAACGUGAGCUGGGUUUAGACCGUCGUGAGACAGGUUAGUUUUACCCUACUAAUGACAAAACGUUGUUGCGACAGCAUUCCUGCGUAGUACGAGAGGAACCGCAGGUACGGACCAAUGGCACAAUACUUGUUCGAGCGAACAGUGGUAUGACGCUACGUCCGUUGGAUUAUGCCUGAACGCCUCUAAGGUCGUAUCCGUGCUGG
rnacentral:rRNA from 1 species